rnacentral:rRNA from 1 species
UACGUAGGGGGCUAGCGUUGUCCGGAUUUAUUGGGCGUAAAGAGCGUGUAGGCGGCCAGGUAGGUCUGCUGCGAAAACUCGAGGCUUAACCUCGAGAUGUCGGCGGAAACCAUCUGGCUAGAGUCCGGAAGAGGAGAGUGGAAUUCCUGGUGUAGCGGUGAAAUGCGCAGAUAUCAGGAAGAACACCGGUGGCGAAGGCGGAUCUCUGGGCCUUACCUGACGCUCAGGUGCGAAAGCUAGGGGAGCGAACAGG